CACGUAGGGCGCAAGCGUUGUCCGGAUUUAUUGGGCGUAAAGAGCGUGUAGGCGGCCAGAUAGGUCCGUUGUGAAAACUGGAGGCUCAACCUCCAGACGUCGACGGAAACCGUGUGGCUAGAGUCCGGAAGAGGAGAGUGGAAUUCCUGGUGUAGCGGUGAAAUGCGCAGAUAUCAGGAAGAACACCAAUGGCGAAGGCAGCUCUCUGGGACGGUACUGACGCUGAGACGCGAAAGCGUGGGGAGCGAACAGG
rnacentral:rRNA from 1 species